AAGAGUUUAUAAAAUCUACACAAAAUAACAUAUUGAAAUCUAUUCACCUUUUUGUAAUUUUUUGCCUAGGGCCAGGUUGGAAAUGCAGGACUGGUCCCCUGCAGCAAAGUUUUAGCUACAGGUCCAGAAAUAAUCACUUCCGAGGCUCUGCUUCUCCCCAGAUGCUGAAUGCCAUUACUUUGGACUUAAACAUCAGAAUUCUUUAUAACAAAUAAGGAUCCAGACUGACAGUGUAGUUCAGUUGACAGAACAGAGGGAUGAUUCACGCUCUAGGUGUUGUGGAUGGCUUGACCACAGAGGGAUCAGUUCAAUCCUGAGAAGGCUAUGUGACGCUGUCGCAUUAAAAUGCAGAUUUAAAGAAUUUCCUUCACUACCCACUGGGAAUACUAUACUUCAAAAGGCAUUGUGUAACUUGGACUGGAAAGAAGAACUGAACUAAUUAAAGAUAAAAUGAGAACAGCAAGAAUUAAACAAACAAAUCCAAAGCAAAUGCAUACAGAAAACAGCCCAGCAAAAGCCCAAAGGAAUUAUUAAUGCAAUCAUUUUCCUCGGGCAAUCAAGACAAAUGACGUCAAGAUUUCAGCUUGGCAAAAACAGCAACUGUAAAAUAUAAAUUUUGUGG
rnacentral:lncRNA from 1 species